rnacentral:rRNA from 1 species
CUACGGGAUGCAGCAGUGGGGAAUAUUGGACAAUGGGGGCAACCCUGAUCCAGCAAUGCCGCGUGAAUGAUGAAGGCCUUAGGGUUGUAAAGUUCUUUUAUCGAUGACGAUAAUGACGGUAGUCGAUGAAUAAGCACCGGCUAACUUCGUGCCAGCAGCCGCGGUAAUACGAAGGGUGCUAGCGUUGUUCGGAAUGACUGGGCGUAAAGGGCGCGUAGGCGGUCAGAUGCGUCUGAUGUGAAAUCCCUGGGCUUAACCUAGGAACUGCAUUGGAUACGGUCUGGCUGGAGUCCGCGAGAGGAAGAUGGAAUUGUGCGUGUAGAGGUGAAAUUCGUAGAUAUGCACAAGAACACCGGUGGCGAAGGCGAUCUUCUGGAGCGGUACUGACGCUAAGGCGCGAAAGCGUGGGGAGCAAACAGGAUUAGAACCCCCGUAGUC